GGCCAAGGACGCGGGGUCCCCACUCCCGGCCACCCACUGGGACCGACCGAACUGGAAGACACCUCCUGCGGGCUCCUCCAGGGCGGACCCUGCAAGAGCUCAGGAACCAAUGUGUGAAAGUGGUUCUUGAGUGGUGUUGGGUCUGGACCACCGAGGUCUGGGGAGAGGCCCCACACGUGGGUCCCAUGACUGCAGCCUGAACCAAGCCGGAAAAUGCCAAGGUCAAAGAGCGAUCUACACUGGAUGCUUCAGGAUAACCAUCUAAAGCAUCGCGUGUCUCUGGGUGAAAUGGAAAAUGACGUAGGAAAAUAUUGGGUGAAAUCUUGGAAAUGACUCAUACUACCAUGUAAAUGGAGCCACCCAUUUUUCAACAACUGUUCAUCAACUACCUCCUAUCUGCUCGUCAC
rnacentral:lncRNA from 1 species